CAUGACUGUCCUAAGUACUUUACAGUUGUUACCUCACAUGGUCCUCUCAACAACUAGUAUACUAUAAUUAUUUCCAUUUUAUAGAUGAAGAAACUGAGGCAAAUAGAAGCUAAGAGACUCACCUAAAAUGUCAAGCUCCUUGAAGGCAGAAAUUGAAUGUAAUUAACAUUUUAUCAUCUCUACCACAAGAAUUCCUGGAACAUAGUUUGUGUCAAGUCUGAAGAAUCCCAAAGAUUUGUUCCACCAAUUAAUCAACUUCUCUUCCCAAUACAUCUAUCUCAUUUGCUGGCUCUCACUGAACAUCUAAGUUCUAUCCAAUGACCCCCUGGGAACAGGAACUACAUAUUUUCUGAAUUCUGGGUAUUGUUCUCCAACCACACAAAAUCUAUCUUCUCAGUGACAAAGUAGGAAGCCAUGGACUUGAAACGUGGUAUUUUGUCAAAAGAUUCAUUUUGCAACAACUUUCUUAUUUUUCAUUUAAGAGUGACAUACUUAUGAAAAUACAUUGGUGAAUUUA